rnacentral:rRNA from 1 species
GUGCCAGCAGCUGCGGUAAUACGGAGGGUGCAAGCGUUAAUCGGAAUUACUGGGCGUAAAGCGCACGCAGGCGGUUUGUUAAGUCAGAUGUGAAAUCCCCGCGCUUAACGUGGGAACUGCAUUUGAAACUGGCAAGCUAGAGUCUUGUAGAGGGGGGUAGAAUUCCAGGUGUAGCGGUGAAAUGCGUAGAGAUCUGGAGGAUACCGGUGGCGAAGGCGGCCCCUGGACAAAGACUGACGCUCAGGUGCGAAAGCGUGGGGAGCAAACAGGAUUAGAUACCCUGGUAGUCCACGCUGUAAACGAUGUCGACUUGGAGGUUGUGCCCUUGAGGCGUGGCUUCCGGAGCUAACGCGUUAAGUCGACCGCCUGGGG